rnacentral:rRNA from 1 species
GGACUACAGGGGUAUCUAAUCCUGUUUGCUCCCCACGCUUUCGCGCCUCAGCGUCAGAACCGGACCAGUGAGCCGCCUUCGCCACUGGUGUUCUUGCGAAUAUCUACGAAUUUCACCUCUACACUCGCAGUUCCACUCACCUCUUCCGGUCUCGAGACAUCCAGUAUCAAAGGCAAUUCCGAGGUUGAGCCUCGGGAUUUCACCCCUGACUUAGACGUCCGCCUACGCGCCCUUUACGCCCAGUGAUUCCGAGCAACGCUUGCCCCCUUCGUAUUACCGCGGCUGCUGGCAC